rnacentral:rRNA from 1 species
AGGACGAACGCUGGCGGCGUGCUUAACACAUGCAAGUGGAGCGACGAACCAGGGCUUGCCCUGGGGCAGAGCCGCGAACGGGUGAGUAACACGUGGGUUACCUGCCUCGAUGACCGGGACAACCCGAGGAAACUCGGGCUAAUACCGGAUGUGCCCGCAAGGGGAAAGGAAGCUUCGGCCUCCGCAUCGAGAUGGGCCCGCGGCCCAUUAGCUUGUUGGUGAGGUAACGGCUCACCAAGGCUUCGAUGGGUAGCUGGUCUGAGAGGACGAUCAGCCACACUGGGACUGAGACACGGCCCAGACUCCUACGGGAGGCAGCAGUGGGGAAUCUUGCGCAAUGCGCGAAAGCGUGACGCAGCAACGCCGCGUGGGGGAAGAAGGCCUUCGGGUUGUAAACCCCUUUCAGUUGGGACGAAGCUUCUCCGGUGAAUAGCCGGACGGAGUGACGGUACCUUCAGAAGAAGCCCCGGCUAACUACGUGCCAGCAGCCGCGGU